UCUGAACACACUCGAUCCAAAGUGAUUCACAUGACAAACAGAACCAAUCAGCUGAUUCACCUGACGUCCGACGAACCCAACUGCUUUGGACGUCACUCAAGUGAUUCAAACGUCACUAGUCACGUGACCGAAACACGCCUCGGCACAGUGGUUCGAAACAAUUGCUUUAUGAGCUACCGCGCAUGUGUCGGAGCCUCUGGUGUUAUAGGGCCAUCACUAUCUAUGGGUAUUCACUUUAGACUCGGCUCCUCCGCAUCCACCGUUUGGUUUGUCCCUGUCUGAAGUUGGACGCAACUUUCUCCAGACACUGAGUUUCCUGUGGACCUCUACAGGGGACUGGACUUUGCCUCAGCUCAGCUGUUGUCUGGUACUUGAUUUUUGUACUACCUCCUGAGGGGUGCUGACAUCUAUCUCCCAGAACACACCACCAAAGUGGGCGCACCAUAGUGGAAACAAGUGCAGAACCUGUGACAAGUAUUACUCACCGCGACACAUUUGGGAAACACGCAAGCAAGUAGUGCUUCAGGCCAAAGACGCAACUAAGGUAUCCAGGUUUUAUUGCAGCCUUGGUGAGCGCAGCGAGACUGGAAGAGCCCAUUGCUACCUGUGAGCCACUGACUUCAGGCCAUGUUGUACGUCAACAUGCGACUCGUCCACGUUUCCUCCCUGAUACACUGACCUCACUUCAGGUUACCGUGUAGUGUCCUCGUGCUGUGUCGCCAUCUACAGGUCACAGUCUGCAGCUGCAGCCACAGAGCUUUGGGACGCACUGACAACUUCAAAGGAACAAUAGUACAAUUAUUAGUUUACCUUUGUUCUUCAGCAGUGAUUAUUUUAGUUUUAUAUUUUCUUUGGGUAAAUUCUUAUGUUCUAGUUCAUGAAAAUGUUACAAAUAGUCAUUUUUACUGUACAAUAUGAAGGUGACCCUGGAUUAAAGUAGCACAGUCAAGUUUGUGCUGUGGUUUUACUAGGACAAAGAGUUCAUGUCCAAAUUAAAACAGAUCAUUUAGGGAAUCUAAAUGUGUCUUUAUACAGCCGGCAGAGAGAGAGAGAGAGAGAGAGAGAGUGUGUGUGUGUGUGUGUGUGUGUGUGUGUGUGUCAGUCAGAUUGGACACUUGUAACAUCAACAUGUCUGGUCCGUCGGGGUCUGUAGUGAACGGGUGUUGUACUGGUGUAUGGUUGACACCUGUGAAACAUAAAUGCACGUUAUGGAUAUCAGUGUAACUGUGUGUCACGGUCUGCAAGGGUGUCGUUGAUCAAUGCAGGUCAUGUGACAACCGUUUCCUCAUGAUUAUAUACAGUUUUUCUAAACGAUUAAUGCUGUCUGGUUAGUUUCCUAUGCAGGCCGUGCUCAGCAGCUGGUGGAUGUCUGAGCUCAAAGCUGUUGACACUGUUAGGUAUUUUUAGUCAGAUAGAUAUUGGAUAGAUACUUUAUGUAU